rnacentral:rRNA from 1 species
UGGGGAAUUUUGGACAAUGGACGCAAGUCUGAUCCAGCCAUUCCGCGUGCAGGACGAAGGCCUUCGGGUUGUAAACUGCUUUUGUACAGAACGAAAAGGUCUCUAUUAAUACUAGGGGCUCAUGACGGUACUGUAAGAAUGAGCACCGGCUAACUACGUGCCAGCAGCCGCGGUAAUACGUAGGGUGCAAGCGUUAAUCGGAAUUACUGGGCGUAAAGCGUGCGCAGGCGGUUAUAUAAGACAGAUGUGAAAUCCCCGGGCUCAACCUGGGAACUGCAUUUGUGACUGUAUAGCUGGAGUGCGGCAGAGGGGGAUGGAAUUCCGCGUGUAGCAGUGAAAUGCGUAGAUAUGCGGAGGAACACCGAUGGCGAAGGCAAUCCCCUGGGCCUGCACUGACGCUCAUGCACGAAAGCGUGGGGAGCAAACAGGAUUAGAUACCCUGGUAGUCCACACCCUAAACGAUGUCAACUGGUUGUUGGGUCUUCACUGACUCAGUAACGAAGCUAACGCGUGAAGUUGACCNCCUGGGGAGUACGGCCGCAAGGUUG